rfam:Desulfovibrionaceae bacterium CG1_02_65_16 cg1_0.2_scaffold_9774_c, whole genome shotgun sequence.
CCGGGGAAGCCGGACGGCGAGUUCGCCGUGAACCCCGCCAGGCCCGAAAGGGAGCAACGGUAGCGGUCCAAACCCGGGUGUCCGGUUUCCCUUAAAG